UCCAAGGCCUUUUUGAAGGCCAUCACUGUUGACUAGCUUAUGACAU
rfam:Echinostoma caproni strain Egypt genome assembly, scaffold: ECPE_scaffold0014916